UGCUGCCACCUGUUAAAAGAUGAUUGGCUGAGGGAUGAUAUAAAAGGAAGCAGGUUUUUGACUUUUCUCCAUAACAGCCACCAACGGUGGAAAAAUUAAUGGAAAUGGCAUUUUGGAGGAAGAGAUUCACAAAGAUCAAAAUUUUUGAUAAUUCAUUGUCUAACAUUACAUUUAAUCUGACUUAUUGUAGCAAUAUUUUUCUAGAGAAAUGUAACUUUAUGCUAAAAAACGAAAAUAGCCCUCUAUUUUACAAAAAAUAUUUAUUUACUUAUAUAUAUAUUUCCAACCGUAACCCUAAGAUCUGUGAGAAUAUGGUUAUUCCAACGGGAAUACCGUGUUUAAUAAUAAUAAAAUUUGAAUAUGAAAAUUAUACCAAAUGGAUUAAAAAAGGACAUGGCAGUUAUUUUGGGGAUGGCUACGUCUUGACUGCCUACCAUCUUUUUAAAAAAGUAGAUCCUAAUUCUGAAAUACUCGUUGUUUUUAAUAACGCAGCAAAUCUGCUGAUUUAUAAAGCUGCAUUCCCAGAAUUCUGUAACAUCGACAAAGAUAAAGAUCAGGCGUUUAUUCAAUUAUGUGGAGAUACUACACCACUUGGUGAAGGUUUACAAAAACAGCUUGGUAAAAUUAAUAAAAAUGGUAAAGUAGUCUUUCGAAAAAUAAAUCGUUUUGGGAAUAUUUUGAAACGCCGUGGUAAAGUCAGUAAUCUAAAUUUAAGCACUUUCAAUCCAAAAUUGCGUCCUGGUGAGUUUCUAAUAAAUAUAGCAGGUGAAGCUGGAGACAGUGGUUUACCUGUAUGCGAUUCCAAAGGUAAACUGAUUGGAGUUUAUCAAGGCAUCUUAACCAAUGACAAAAAUACUCCAAAAUUUGGCUUCGCUACUGAAAUUUCUCCAGAUUUUUACCCUACUAUGCAAUUAAAAGAUUCUUUUACCGGCAUUUCGAGUCCAGAAAUCCCUGUGGUGUCUGAUAAAUAGAAAUCCAUCAUUUUGAAACCAUAAUUUAAAAUGUAUUGUUUAUUAUUCAUUAAAAAUUUAGAAUGUAUAAUUAAAAAUUACAUAUUAUAAUAGUUUUCCUAGAUAACCUAUUAGUAAACCUAUUAGACUGCGUGUGUGUGUGUGUGUGUGUGUGUGUGUGUGUGUGUGUGUGUGUGUGUGUGUGUUUUUGUGCAUAUGUGUGUGUAACGCAUGAGCCAAAUGAAUCACUGAAGCCUUGGAGCCUGAAGCCUUCAUUUUUGUCUCCUGACACACUGAGAAAACAUAUUUCCCAGUGUGGAGUCAUCGCACAACCGCAGCUACAUGGACGUUAAGCCAGUGAGCUUCAACUAUACAAGAGCAGCAGCAGCUUCAUCAGGCUCGCAUGGGUCUGUAAUGACAAGAACCAUAACAACAAGAGCAACACUGAGCAAAGCUGCAGGCUGAACCUCCAUCCAGAACCUGCCGGAACAGAACUGUGGUGAUGCGCAUUCAAGUCCUCCAAAUGGCUUAAUAGUGUCUCGCAAUGGCUUAUGCAUCACACAUAUAUACACACACACACACACACACACACACACACACACACACACACAUACACAUCUAGAUAUAGAUAGAUCUAGAGAAAAUAAUUUCCUAAGAGAUAAAUUAAUAAACUUGAACAUGUGAAUGAUCCUCCUGGACCCAUUUCCUCCUCCACGGUGUCUGGUGGCUGCUAAGUGUGAGGAGCGUGACACAAGACCCACUGAGGAUUGUUCACGUUACCAAAAAUUACUUUACCAUUACUUUACUGGACGGAGAAAAACGGAAUAUGGAGGCUUUGCUUUGUGUGGUGUGUGUGUGUGUGUGUGUGUGUGUGAGUGUCAACAACCGCUCUAGCCACCAUCCACCGCACCACUGUUCGUCAUCUUCUACACCAGCACAUUGUAAUGAUGUCUCAUCUCUUGAGCUCUCUCCAGCCCGGUUUCCCUUCCUCAUGACAUCUCAGGAAGAUUUUCCUUGAUCGGAAAAAUGGGGCUCUACGUCCAGCAAAGUAAAAAAAAAAAAAUAUAAUAAUAAAAUUUGAGUUUGAAAUGAA